UACGAAGGGGGCUAGCGUUGCUCGGAAUUACUGGGCGUAAAGCGCACGUAGGCGGAUUGUUAAGUCGGGGGUGAAAUCCUGGAGCUCAACUCCAGAACUGCCUUCGAUACUGGCGAUCUCGAGUUCGGGAGAGGUGAGUGGAACUGCGAGUGUAGAGGUGAAAUUCGUAGAUAUUCGCAAGAACACCAGUGGCGAAGGCGGCUCACUGGUCCGGUACUGACGCUGAGGCGCGAAAGCGUGGGGAGCGAACAGG
rnacentral:rRNA from 1 species